AAUAGAUACCCUGGUAGUCCACGCCCUAAACUAUGUCAACUGGUUGUCGGGGAAGCAAUUCCUUGGUAACGAAGCUAACGCGUGAAGUUGACCGCCUGGGGAGUACGGCCGCAAGGUUAAAACUCAAAGGAAUUGACGGGGACCCGCACAAGCGGUGGAUUAUGUGGAUUAAUUCGAUGCAACGCGAAAAACCUUACCUACCCUUGACAUGCCAGGAACCUCGCAGAGAUGUGAGGGUGCCCGAAAGGGAACCUGGACACAGGUGCUGCAUGGCUGUCGUCAGCUCGUGUCGUGAGAUGUUGGGUUAAGUCCCGCAACGAGCGCAACCCUUGCCAUUAGUUGCCACAUUCAGUUGGGCACUCUAAUGGGACUGCCGGUGACAAACCGGAGGAAGGUGGGGAUGACGUCAAGUCCUCAUGGCCCUUAUGGGUAGGGCUUCACACGUAAUACAAUGGCCGGUACAGAGGGCAGCCAACUCGCGAGAGGGAGCUAAUCCCAGAAAGCCGGUCGUAGUCCGGAUUGCAGUCUGCAA
rnacentral:rRNA from 1 species